GGUUUCUUAUUUUUUAUUUAUUAAAUUAAAAAAAAAUGAAAAUUUAGAAUUGGUAAUUUAAUUAAGUGCAAAACUCUGUAAUAACUCUUUCAUUUACUUCAUUGAUAUUCACGUACGCUAAUUUACCGCCACUACUACAAUCACCCUCCCAUCUUCCUCCAGUACCUUCAAUUACAUACGAUUAAGCUUCCCUCCACCGCCAUCGCAACCGCAAAAGCCCUUGCCCAUCACAAAAGCCAUUGCAAUUUCGCUUAUCUGCCACCAUAGCCACUUUAAUUUGUUCUGGUUUUUGUGUCGUUUGAACUACUGCCGGCACCGCCACUGAAGCCACCGAAACCACCAACGCCACUGGUGCUUUCAUAAACGUGCAUGCUUUAGUCUCUAACUCGGUUGAUCAAGUGGUGAUGCCAGCAGCUCUUAUGCCAUGUCCAACCUCAGAGUUCACGUAUGUGUCUCAAGCUAAGGGUAGUUUUGCUCCCUGGCCAAGUCACUUGAUUUUUCCAAUGAUGAAGGAGGAUGAACAAACAGCAAAACUACUUGAUCAACCCCUGACUACUCCAUCCCUGAAACACCAUCAUCACAAGCAUCCACUACUCAUAAGGGGAAACAUACUCCAUGUUUCUGGGGCAAGUUAACAGAUUUUGUAGCCAACUUUGAAGGCUACUUUAGGAUUAUCAGCCUGUUAGAAAUGCAUUAUUUAUUUGCCCUGGAAAUGGGCUGGAAGUUUGAUUGAGUCUGAACCACUGCAUUAUAUGGAUGUGAGAAUGAUCAUAUCAAUAAUUUUGGUCAAACUAACUUCCGGAAGUUGUACACAUAACUAACAUUAGUUAUCUUAAGGCCUUUAUGAUUGUUCAUUAAGAAGUUGGUCAUACAUUCUAUAAUAGCAGUUAAGAACCCAGAAGCUUUUAAUUGCUCAACUUUGUUUGUGUUGGCUAUAUUCUGAUUGUACUAUAAUGGGUAUCCGGCAUAUGACGACAUGAAUAAGUAAAAGAUGCAGGCACAUAAAUAUUGUGGUUUUGAAAAUUCAGUCAUUACAACUUUAGUCA